rnacentral:rRNA from 2 species
GAGCGAAAGCGUGGGGGAGCGAACAGGAUUUAGAUACCCUGGUAGUCCACGCCGCUAAACGAUGAUGUGCAAAGUGUGCGGGGGUUUCCGCCCCUUAGUGCUGCAGCUAACGCAUUAAGCCCUCCGCCUGGGGAGUACGGUCCCAAGGCUGAAACUCAAAGGAAUAGACGGGGGCCUGCACAAGCGGUAGAGCAUGUGGUUUAAUUCGAAGCACCGCGAAGAACUUUACCAGGUCUUGACAUCCUGUGACAAUCCUAGAGAUAGGACGUCCCCUUCGGGGGCAGAGUGACAUGUGGUGCAUGGUUGUCGUCAGCUCGUGUCGUGAGAUGUUGGGUUAAGUCCCGCAACGAGCGCAACCCUUGAUUUUAGUUGCCAGCAUUCAGUUGGGCACUCUAAGGUGACUGCCGGUGACAAACCGGAGGAAGGUGGGGAUGACGUCAAAUCAUCAUGCCCCUUAUGACCUGGGCUACACACGUGCUACAAUGGACAGAACAAAGGGCAGCGAAACCGCGAGGUUAAGCCAAUCCCACAAAUCUGUUCUCAGUUCGGAUCGCAGUCUGCAACUCGACUGCGUGAAGCUGGAAUCGCUAGUAAUCGCGGAUCAGCAUGCCGCGGUGAAUACGUUCCCGGGCCUUGUACACACCGCCCGUCACACCACGAGAGUUUGUAACACCCGAAGUCGGUGAGGU